AGGAUUAUAGUUUAUUAAAAACAUUUGAUUUGCACUCAAAAAAUAUUGAAAUUCAAUUUAUCUU
rnacentral:tRNA from 1 species